UCAGGACGAACGCUGGCGGCGUGCUUAACACAUGCAAGUCGAACGGUGACCUCGAGAGCUUGCUCUUGGGUGAUCAGUGGCGAACGGGUGAGUAACACGUGAGUAACCUGCCCCUGACUUCGGAAUAACCCCGGGAAACCGGGGCUAAUACCGGAUAUGAAACGGGCCCGCAUGGGUUUGUUUGGAAAGUUUUUCGGUUGGGGAUGGACUCGCGGCCUAUCAGCUUGUUGGUGAGGUAAUGGCUCACCAAGGCGACGACGGGUAGCCGGCCUGAGAGGGCGACCGGCCACACUGGGACUGAGACACGGCCCAGACUCCUACGGGAGGCAGCAGUGGGGAAUAUUGCACAAUGGGCGAAAGCCUGAUGCAGCGACGCCGCGUGAGGGAUGACGGCCUUCGGGUUGUAAACCUCUUUCAGCAGGGAAGAAGCGAAAGUGACGGUACCUGCAGAAGAAGCACCGGCUAACUACGUGCCAGCAGCCGCGGUAAUACGUAGGGUGCGAGCGUUGUCCGGAAUUAUUGGGCGUAAAGAGCUUGUAGGCGGUUUGUCGCGUCUGCUGUGAAAAUCCGGGGCUCAACCCCGGACUUGCAGUGGGUACGGGCAGACUAGAGUGUGGUAGGGGAGACUGGAAUUCCUGGUGUAGCGGUGAAAUGCGCAGAUAUCAGGAGGAACACCGAUGGCGAAGGCAGGUCUCUGGGCCACUACUGACG
rnacentral:rRNA from 1 species